AAACCAGCACCUCAAGUGGUCAGGAGGAUUAUUGGGCCUAAAGCAUCCGUAGCCUGCUGCAUAAGUUUUCGGUUAAAUCCAUACGCUCAACGUAUGGGCUGCCGGGAAUACUGUGCAGCUAGGGAGUGGGAGAGGUAGACGGUACUCGGUAGGAAGGGGUAAAAUCCUUUGAUCUAUUGAUGACCACCUGUGGCGAAGGCGGUCUACCAGAACACGUUCGACGGUGAGGGAUGAAAGCUGGGGGAGCAAACCGGAUUAGAAACCCCGGUAGUCC
rnacentral:rRNA from 1 species